GGAGCUCUGCUCCUUCAAGCUCUUUUAAAUAGUAUGUUUCGAGUCGGACUACCUCUUUGACUUCAUAUGGGCCUUCCUAAUUUGGGGUAAGUUUCUCCUGAUUCUGCGGUUGUGAGACAGUGGCUCGCCGUAACACCAGGUCCCCCACUCUGAAGACUUUGCUUUCGAUUCGAGAGUUAUAGUAGCGGGCUACUUUCUAUUUGUAGGCCGCCAUCCGAACUCGAGCCGUCUCCCAUUUUUCUUCUAACAAGUCGAGGUUGGCCUUGAGAUCCUGUGGAUUGCGCUGUUCAUCGAACACCAUGACUCGUGCUGAUGGAAGCUUGAGUUCUACUGGGAUCACGACCUCUGUUCUGAAAGCUAAAGCAAAGGGGGUCUCCCCCAUGGGCAAUCUCUGAGUAGUCCGGUAUGCACACAACACAUGAUAGAGCUCGUCAGCCCAAGCUCCCUUUGCUUUUUCAAGUCUCGCUUUG
rnacentral:lncRNA from 1 species